rnacentral:rRNA from 1 species
AUUGAACGCUGGCGGUAUGCUUAACACAUGCAAGUCGAACGAUGAGAAAGAGCUUGCUCUUUCGAUUAGUGGCGGACGGGUGCGUAACGCGUAGGAAUCUACCUAUUAGUGGGGGACAACUUAGGGAAACUUAAGCUAAUACCGCAUACGACCUAAGGGGGAAAGAAGGGGAUCGCAAGACCUUUUGCUAAUAGAUGAGCCUGAGUAGGAUUAGCUAGUUGGUGGGGUAAAAGCUCAACAAGGCGACGAUCCUUAACUGGUUUGAGAGAAUGAUCAGUCACACUGGAACUGAGACACGGUCCAGACUCCUACGGGAGGCAGCAGUGGGGAAUAUUGGACAAUGGGCGAAAGCCUGAUCCAGCAAUACCGCGUGUGUGAAGAAGGCCUUAGGGUUGUAAAGCACUUUCAAUUGGAAGGAAAACCUCGAAGCUAAUACCUUCGAGUUUGACAUUACCUUUAGAAGAAGCACCGGCUAACUCCGUGCCAGCCGCCGCAGUAA